rnacentral:tRNA from 1 species
GUCCUCGUAGCUCAGCUGGAUAGAGCACUGCCCUCCUAAGGCAGGUGUCGUACGUUCGAAUCGUAUCGGGGACG